rnacentral:piRNA from 1 species
GAUGUUGAUGAUGAUGAUGAAUGGGA